rnacentral:rRNA from 1 species
UACGGGGGGGGCAAGCGUUAUUCGGAAUUAUUGGGCGUAAAGGGCGCGUAGGCGGCUUGGCAAGUGGAAGGUGAAAUCCCUCGGCUCAACCGAGGAACUGCCUUCUAAACUGCUUUGAUUGAGUCCGGGAGAGGUCAGUGGAAUUCCCAGUGUAGCGGUGAAAUGCGUAGAUAUUGGGAGGAACACCAGUGGCGAAGGCGGCUGACUGGACCGGUACUGACGCUGAGGCGCGAAAGCGUGGGGAGCAAACGGG